rnacentral:lncRNA from 1 species
UAGGUGUCACUAGUGGAUUAUGAGAGCUCAUUAAGGUUGUUCUGGAUCGACAAUCCUUGAUGAGUUAGAGUGAAAUUGUUCCAACCCAUAGAAAAGAGUUUCAAUGAUACUUUGAUAGAGAUCAUUGUAUAUCUCACAACCAGGUAGAAUUAAAUCUAUGGGGUCACAGAACAAAAAGAUUAGGCCUAGAUUAGCAAUUAGACUUAUGAAGUGUCAAUUGGA